rnacentral:lncRNA from 1 species
ACCUAACCCAUCCCAUGUAACUGGAAUGACACUGUAUUGCUCAGGCAGAUCCCAUUUGUUGAUCCUUCAAGAUCCAACGACUGGGAACUGGGCCUCGAAUCCCUUUUAUAUAUCUGAAGACCCCCUCCUCCCAUACCCAGAGAACCCCCUUCAUUCGUUUAUCAUCUCUAAAGUAGCAAACCCUAGCUGCCUUAUUUCUCUCUUGAAUUCUCAAAGCUCGAACCUUGGCUUCCACCCACCGAAAAUAUUUCAAGGCGGCAGCAUGCCACCAAACUUAUCUUCUAUACCCCCAACCUCCCCUUUACUUUAAUCUAUCAACCAUCCUACCAAUAACCUCAUCAAAUUCCCUGAAGAUCAGAUCUAAGAAGACCCUAAAUCGCCCUAACUCCGUUCUCCGCCUCCCAAGUUCUAGAUUUGAAUCAAGGCUAGCGUUAAGCCAUUGUUCUUGCUAAGAACUAUCUCCUAAUGUUAGUUUUGAUUCAUUUCGAGAGUUGAUGUCUUGACCGAGCCACCAUACAUAGCCAAGUUCAUUUUCCCCCCUUUAUUCAGUCUUUCUGUUAGGCCUUUUCUUUUUUUAUUCUUCUUUGGUUUUGUUUUUUUUUACUUGUUUUUCAAUUAUUAUCCUAGUUGUGAUUGCAUGCCUAGUUGAUUUUGUUUGGUUAAUUAUUUUUUCAAAUCAGUUGACAUCAUAUGUUUGUUUGAAUCGAAUGGAGAUUGUAUUUGUUUCUUCUUUAGAUAAUCGAAAACUCUUAUUAGUUUAGCCAAUUUAUCAUGAUUAUAUUUUGUAUUUUUUUUACCAUUUUUAUUAGUUAUUUUAUAUGAUGUUACUAAUGGCGUUUUAGUUUGAAGGUUUUCCCUUUGUGUUGAGAUUUCAAUACCAAAUGUCUAAAUGUUUAUCCCUCUUUGAUUGUGAACAAAUUUGGAAAAUAGCCAACUAUCUGAUUCAAUUUUUGUAUAGUUAGUAAUAGUUAGGGAACUAUUGGGGUAUUAGGUCAAUAAUAGAAACUUGGGAUAUUAUUUGAGAGUAAUAAAAUCAUAUCUUUGUGGGGGAGGCUUCUCUAAUAGGGGCAGCUAGCCUUAUUUGGUUAGCACAAGUUGCUGGAGCCAAUAAAAGGUGGCCAGCUGUCCCAUUUAGUUACAAAAGAUUCCUUGCAGGCUGAAAGAAUUCCCAUAGUCCGUUUCAACAGUUCCCUUGCCUAUAAAGGCACGUUUUGCCUUCUUACUGAAGGCAGACUGCGAGAGAUAAAAAAUUUUGAAAACUAUAUUGGGCUAAAAAGCAAUAACAACAGAAAUCACUGUAAAGUCUGAAGAAUCGGAAGAGAAGCACCAGGAAAAAUACUAUUUCAUUGAGUUUGUACGUUUCUUUUGGGGUUUCUUAAAGUCUUGACGUAUUUCUGAUUUUGUUGGUCUUUUUAAAAAUGGUGUGAAAAGCUGGGUUUGUUGUGGUUAAGCUGUUGAAUUCCAUUUUCUCUUUGUUGCUGCUGCUCACUGAUUCUUCCUUGCCCUUUUUCUUUUCUUACUUCCAGGUAUUCUACUGAAUCUUUGAUGGAAGGGGCUUUGACUGAAUAUGUGUAGAGAUUUGAAUUAAAUGAAAACAAACUGGACUGUUUAAUUACUGUGUAAUUCAAUUAUAUAUUUCUCGUGUUUUAUUAGCUUGUUGUGAAGAUUUCAUCAUGAAAUAUAGUUGGCUUCAAAUGUUAACUAUAAGCUUUAUUUGAGCAUAACGGAUUCAUGUUUAGACAUGUUAAGACAUGUAGUCAUUACGGACUGCGAUUUUAGUUUAGCUAAUUGAAACUGUUUGGUUUUUUUGGUCUGGGGUCAUAUAACUAUCAUUUCAAGUGCAUGUUAAUUUUAAAUUAUGAGUUUGUUGAUAUUAGUGUAAGCUAAUGAACAUGUUCAAAUUUGCAUUUAUAUGGUUUAGAAUUUUCCAUUAGUUCUUCUUCCAGAGUAUAUUGAGCCCUUUUGGAAAGUAAUUGAAUAUCAAGUGGAAUUUGGAUUCGUUCAUUCGUCUUUGGUUAAUUCCUCAAAGUCAGCUUGAUUCCUCACAUGAUUUCCUCUAAAGCUGGGACUGUAUGACUUUAUUUGGGUGUAUUGGUCAGGAUUUAAUUUGAGUUGUAAUUCUCAAGCUCUUUUGAUAUUAAGUUAUGGAUAUCUUCUGAAAAGGUAUUAUUAUUAAUAGGGUUGUCUUAGAAUUCAUGUGUGGAAUUAUGGUUUCAAAUAUAUCUGAAUUAAAAUUUCCUUAAGUAAUGGUUCAAUGCCAGAUUUUCCUAAGUAAUACUAUUGUUGAAACUGUACCUGAUGGACUACGUAUUGGGCUAUCAUUUUGACCCAAUUGCCACCACAUUUCCUCCGCAGUCAGGUGACCAAAUUGGGCUUCAUGGGGAGCCCAGUUAUUCAGCCUACCAAGUCUGUCAAAGUGGGCGUCCAUGCUAGGUGUGAUUAAUCCAUGUUUUGUUAUUUUACACAGG